rnacentral:lncRNA from 1 species
UCCAUUCUUCGCAAGCCGUAACAGCAAACAAAGCGAGCGAGAAUCUCCUCUAGCUAGUCUGCAAGAAGCCAGCGAGCGGCGAGGACGCGAGCUGUGACACCGGUAGGAUUAAUCGAUCCACAUGGCGCCCAAGCGGUCGACUUCGCCGGCUGGUAGCAGCAGCAGCGGCAGCGGCAGCGGUGCGGAGCAGCCCAGGCUGCGCGGCGUGCGGAAGCGGCCGUGGGGCCGGUACGCGGCGGAGAUCCGCGACCCCGUGCGGAAGGCGCGCGUGUGGCUCGGCACCUUCGACACCCCCGAGCAGGCCGCGCGCGCCUACGACGCCGCCGCGCUGAAGCUCCGCGGGCCCGGCGCCACCACCAACUACCCCGCCGCCGACGCGAAGGCGGCGGCGGCUCCGGCGACGAGCGGUAGCGGGAGCGGGAGCAUCGUGCUGUCAGAGGGCGCGUCGUCGUCCUCCUCCUCCUCUCGGGACUCUCCGCUGGCACCGAGUCUGGCGCUUCCGGCCACGGCCGCCGCGCAGCCCUGCCAUCUGUUCCUGGACCCGACGACGACGACGGUGGUGGUCGUGGCGCCGGCGCUGCUGCAGUUCCUGCCGCCGAAGAGCGAGGAAGAGCAUAGCUUCGCAGGGUCGAGCUCCUCGCCGCCCGUGGUGUUUGACUCGGCGCCGCCGGCCGUGGGCCUGGGGCUGGACCUGAACCUGGCGCUGCCGGCGCCAGGGACGAUGGUGGUGUAGCGGACAGACUAAUCAAUUGGUUAAUUGCAUACAGUAGGAAUUAGCUGAUGAUGGAUCCAGAUGCCAUCAGGCCAGUGUAAGAUAGGCUGCAGAUUUGUUAAUGCAGCCCUUCGUUUUCCUUUCUUUUUGUACUGGCACAUCUGCAUCUUCUUGCAAUGAAACAACGAGGAUGAUCUUCCCUCCCGGUUUACUACAAUCUCUCGUCUGCCAGUCUCACAGCUCCAGCAGCUCCUGAAACCUCCGAAUUGUAGCGCGCCGCGCGCCGGGAUAUGGGUUCGCAGACUCGGAUGACAUCCGGAUAUGAGGUCUGGGUACGCGCACGGGUAUGCGGGUAGCAAGCGGCGGCGUCACGUACGCGUCGCCGGGCAGGGCAGGGCAGGUAGGAGUAGGACGUGGUCUCGAGGCAACGCGCCCGUGUCGGCAGGGCAGCUAGACAGCGCGGCAGCGUGGUGCCGUGGUGUACGCGCGGCCACGAUGCACCGUCCGCAUCCAGUAGGACGUGUGCGUGCAGGUGCGCGCGCCGCCGCCGACGUCUCCAUCAACCGCCCCACGGUUUUUAAAAAGUCCGCCGACCCCGGAGGCGCGACGCGGGGUUCCCCGCAGUCGCCGUUGGCCGGCGGCAGGCGUCCCGUGCGCGUGCGGCUAUCGCUGUCGCAGGCUCGCAGGUGGCAGGCUGGCAGAGCAGGCGCCGCUCACCCUCAUAUUCCUUCGCAGCUGACGUUUCACCUCCAAAACUUGUCGCACGAAAAAUAUUCAUUUAAUCACCUUCUCAAAGUAACCCAGAGUUCUUAAAAAAAAUCUUCCCAAAACAAAGUAUUGGGACUAUGCUAAAAAAAAUUUCUCCAGAAAAUAUAUAACACAUAGCAAAACGCUAAAAAUUCUUCCCAAAACAAAGUAUUGGCUAUGCUAAAAAAAAUUUCUCCAAAAAAUAUAUAACACAUAGCAAAAUGCUAAAAACUAUCCCCCAGUAAUUCAAAAAGACCACGUCAUCAUAAUCGGAAUCAAGUAUCAAAAGAACGACAACUCGUUGGAUCGGGCCUGUCUCUAGUGCAACAGCAUGUAGAGCAGCAUGUCAUUGCAGGCGUCCAUGGUGCUGGGCAAGUACUAGUGCAGAUAGUCACGCGACACAGACGGGCGGAAGAACCAACUCGCCCAGACCACCACGUAGUCGAACUCGCCGGCGCGCGCCGACCACCCGGCAUCCGGCUGGUCGAGGUGGAGGCUCCACAGCCUGCCCCACUCCUUCGCCGCGCUCUUCCACGGGACCCUCGCCGCGCUCGUCGUGGCCAGGGCUAUCCUCGAGCUGCCCGCGGGGUCCCGCUCCUUCGCCACGCCAAACAAGCGCCUUCAGGAGCACGUCCUCGACUACAACAUCGCCUAUUUUACCAUGGACCUGCUCCACUACCUCACCUUUCGGCCCGGAGACGUCCUCUUCAUCGCGCACCAUUGAUUCAACCCCUGGCGCCAUCGUGCAACCGCGGAGCAAGAGGGGAUUCAACCACCACCGGCUAGUGCUGCCGCCGAUCCCGUCCGUCUUCGACGGCCGGUACACUGCCCUCACCUCCCCGCCGCCGCACUUCUUUCUCGCGUCUGUUCCCUCACCUAACCUCACUCUCCGCAUUGCAGCUUCCCACGCCUCCCUCCUCUCCAACCGGCGGCGUCAACCGCGCCAUGGAGAACGGCCUCCUCGACGACCCCCUCGCGCUCGCCCCGCCGCCUUGCUACUCGCCCCGCCACCCCGCUGCUUGCGCGGGAAGUGGUCGUGCAGGACGUUUGGGAAAAGACAUGCGCGGGGGAUUGGGGAAGACCAGCUGACACGAAUAUAUGCGGGGCCAGUGGUGUUUUUUUCGCGUCACCAAUCUUUUGGAAAGUUUUAGGUGGAUUAUUGGAGUUCUUUUUUUCUUUUUUGUUUCCUUAAAAAAGGUAUUGGAGGUAAGAUUAGAGUCUUUUGGAGUUCUCUCACCUAGUUAACGAAUCAAUCUACAUUCACUCCCAACAUCGACGUCCCAGCCAGACUCGCUCACCCCUUCCAUCGCCUCUUUCGUUGGUCACCCCUCCGUUCCUUGAUUAUCUGCUCGACACAUAAACGAUGCCCACUUGCAUGCAACACCGCGCAUUCGUGCCGCUUCCCCAUCGCUCGAUGCUCGCCGCCGCUUCCCAUAGCUAGCACGCUCGUCGCCGCUUCACAUUGCCUUAUUCGCCACUCCACUGCAGCUCUCCCCUCCCAUCCCAUGGUGCUAAGCGACUUCGGCAAGAGCCGUGGUUCACGGUAUUUGGGCUAAGCAGCUGCAUCUUCCAGUGAAGGGAGUGGAUCCACGACCUCCGGCUCUGGAUCGGGUGUGGGGGAGGUUGGAGUUGCAGGCUCGGUGGAGGUGGGAUGCGUAGUGGCUGAUCCUUGUCUUCCCACGGGACUCCUCUACUAUUUAAGCCCUCUUUGGCAUGGCUCAUUUCAGUUUUAGCUUCAUCUAUUUUGCGCAAAUCGAGCCACUAUAGCGUGAAACCAUUUUGUAAGCCGGGGCUAAAAUGAAUUAGAAGCUAGGUGAAACCAGUUUUUUAGCUUCACCAGUGAAAGUAUGUGCAAGUAAAAUGAGCAUCAAUAAAAUACAAGCACAUGUAUCGUGAUGGUCGUGCUUGGACUGGCACGGCACGAAGUUGUACCGGCGUGUAGCACGGGCCAUGCUUGUGCUUAGUAAAAGACUUAUCGUGCUGUGCCGGUACAACACCACGUACCUAACGUGCUCAGAAGUCCAGACACGAUGGGGCACGGGGCAUGAGAGGGCCGGGCCGUGCAGUGAAAAUCUUACCAAGGCAAGCAAGUUGUACCAAGUCGUUAUCCUUGCCUGUUCAAGCGAGACGACGCCGAGCACGGGAACCGAGAUCGAAACUAAUCCUCAAAGGCCUUGUUUAGUUCCCCUUUUUUCCCAACUUUGACACUAUGCAAAAAGAAGAUUUUCCAUCAUAUCAAACUUGCGGUACAUGCAUGGAGUACUAAAUGUAGACGAAAUCAAAAACUAAUUGCACAAUUUUGUUGUACUUUGCGAGACGAAUCUUUUGAGCCUAAUUAGUCAAUGUUUGGACAAUAAUUUAUAAAUACAAACGAAAUACUACAGUUGCGCAUUUAUAGCAAAAUGCAAACUUUGUCACUUCCAAUUUGGAAACUAAACAUGCUAGGAAAGUGACAUUCUGCAGUAACCUCAUGCUACACUCAACAACAAAUCACAAGACAUCGUUUCUUGAUCCGACGGCUGCGCGGGCCAGCCACAUCCCACGCGGCACUGCGCGCCACGAGUCGGAACCGACCCGAACCAGCGCAGCGCAGCGCAGAGCAGAGCGGACACGCUAGCUCGCGCGCGCGACGCGCCGACGCAACACGGACGGCCCCGCAAACCGACGCCGCGAGCCGCCGGAACGGAAACGCGGUGAGGGCGGCGCCCUGGGCCCCACCCUGAGCCCGCUCUCGGUCCGCAGCCAGCCAGACCUCACCUUCCUUCCACCUCUCCCGCGUGGGCCCCACCAUCCACCUCACCUGUCACCCUCGCCGCCCCCACCCCCUCGUGCUCACUCGUGGUGUAUAUAUUCCAAGCCUCGCCAGCGGCGUCCCCAUCCAUUCUCGCAACUCGCAAGCGCCAACAGCAAAGAACAAGCGAGCGAGAAGCUAAAGCAAGAAGCCGUCGAGGACGUGGAUCAAGCGAUCCAUGGCGCCGAAGAGGUCGACUUCGCCGGCCGGAAGCAGCAGCAGCGGCAGCGGCGUGUUCGCGCCGGCGGCGGCGGCGGAGCAGCAUCCAAGGCUCCGUGGGGUGCGGAAGCGGCCGUGGGGCCGGUACGCCGCGGAGAUCCGGGACCCCGUGCGCAAGGCGCGCGUGUGGCUCGGCACCUUCGACACCCCCGAGCAGGCGGCGCGCGCCUACGACGCCGCCGCGCGGAAGCUCCGCGGGCCCAGCGCCACCACCAACUACCCCGCCGCCGACGCGAAAGGGGCGGCGAGCGGGAACACCGUGCUGUCGGAGGACGCGUCGUCGUCCUCCUCGUCUUCCCGGGACUCGCCGCUGGCGGUGACGGUGGCCGUCGCGGCGGCGCCGCCCCCGUCGCUGGACCUGAGCCUGGCGCUCCCGACCACGCCAUCGUGCUGCCAGAUGUUCCUGGACCCGACGAUGAUGGUGGCCGGUGCGCCGGCGCUUCUGCAGUUCCUGCCGCCGAAGAGCGAGGAGGGGCAGAGCUUGUCAUGUUCAUCGUCGUCGUCGGUGGUGCUCGACGCGGCGCCGGCGGCGGGCCUGGGGCUGGACCUGAACCUGGCGCUGCCGGCACAGAUGGUGGUGUAGCGACAGGCUAAUCAGUUGGUUAAUUACAGUAGGAAUUAGCUGAUCAUGAAUCAGAGGCCAGCCAGUGUAAAUAGGGCGCAGAUUUGUGAAUGCAGCCCAUCUUUUUUCCUUUCUCUGCAUCUCUUCUUCCAACCCAAUGAUGCAAAAACAGAGGACAAUUUCCCUUCCAGGGCAUAAUCUUGUUUUUUUUCUGCUAUUAUAUCGAUCCGUUCGUUCAAAAAAACAAUUAACAAUCUCGCAUUUUGCCAAUCUCACGGCUCCAGCAGCUCCUGAAACCUCUGAAAUUCCGAAUUGAACUCUGCAGCUUCGCACCAGGACACGGUGUUCGGAGGAGGCUCGGAUGGCAUGCAUGGAACUGCCAGUUCCGCGACGUGCACGGCGGAUAUGCUCCGGAACCGGUGGUGACCUCAUGCCGGUAGUGAGCGGUUGGCGGCGUCACGACCACGUACGCGUCGCCGGCGGGGCAGGUAGGACGUGGACGUGGUCUGGAGGCGACGCACGCGCCAUGUCGGCAGCGCAGCUAGGCAGGCGGUGGGAUGAUACGGCACGCGCCACGAUUACGGAGGCGGUGGCGACUCGCGAGGCGUGCGCGCACGGCACCGACCGGGGGGCCGGGGCCGAGAGCGCGUGGGCGCGUGGCGUGGCGGCUGCAGGCCCGCCCCCCCCCCCCCCCCCCCCCCCCCCCCCCCCGGGGUCAGCGCCUCAGGCAGCCCUCAGCGGAUGCGAUCGGAGCGGACGAAGAGAAACCGAUGGCACCGAACGUGCGUUCGUUCGGGCGGCGGGCUGGGCCCACCACCGUGCCGGGUCAGCUGUCCGGCCGACCCCAUCAGCCGCCCAGAGCGGCCCGCGGUUGACCCCACCCAGCUGGGUUGCACGCGCGAGCGAGUCGCUUUCGCUCCAAGCCACCGAACGCCGGCCAUCAAGCAGCUGCAUGGAAGGAUUCCGAAUUCUUUCAAAGCUAACCAUUCUCUUUUAAUUGGCUCCUCCUCUCUAUGCUCGAGCUACAUGGAAUGAUGGCACGAAUGUUUGCUAGGGCCUUGUUUAGUUGGGGAAUUUGGGAGGUGCCAAAUUACUGUUACAGCACUGUAGCACACUGUAGCGUUUCGUUUGUAUUUGUGAAUUAUUGUCCAAAUAUUGACUAAUUAGGCUCAAAAGAUUCGUCUCGCAAAGUACAACAAAACUGUGCAAUUAGUUUUUAAUUUCAUCUACAUUUAGUACUCCAUGUAUGUACCGCAAGUUUGAUGUGAUGGGGAAUCUUCUUUUUGCAUAGUGUCAAAGUUGGGAGUUGGGAGUAACUAAACAUGGUCUAGGUAUUGGGCAUUUUUUAUUUUUUAUUAACCAUUUGCAGAGAGAACAAGCCGUCUCUACGAAUGUAUUUGCAGCGUCGGUCAAUACCACCACCUCUGUAGUUGCUGGCAUUUGCACAGGCCUUAUGUUAGAGGUGGUUCGUGAGGCUGCCUCAAAUGUUUUGACCGACUUUAAGUUGGCUUCUUUGGUAGUGUGGGUCAUUGUAGUAUUUGGCAUCGUUCAUCACAAUGUGAUGUCAUGUGUAGUCCACAAUGGGGGUAUUUGUAGGUGGUACAGGAGAAGGGAAAACAGGAUUACAAAGGCCUUGUUUAAUUCCACCUAAACUCCCAAUUUUGACACUAUGCAAAAAGAAGAUUCCCCGUCACAUCAAACUUACGGUACAUGCAUGGAGUACUAAACGUAGACGAAAUCAAAAACUAAUUGCACAGUUUUGUUGUACUUUGCGAGACGAAUCUUUUGAGCCUAAUUAGUCAAUAUUUGGACAAUAAUUCACAAAUACAAACGAAACGCUAUAGUGUACUACAAUGCUACAAUAGUAAUUUUGGACAUCCAAAUUCAGGGCAACGCCACACUGGCCUUAUUCUACCUACUACAUUCUGUAAUAUCGGAGGGCAUUGCAGGGAUUUUACCCAGGCGGAGGCAGAAUAAUGAUCCUCACUUCGUCAUUGAAUAUUCAUUAUGGCUGCACUUGCUACACUCUUGAUCCUCCUUUUGCCUUGCCAGCGCCCGUUACCCUUCCAGACUGCCGCCACUGGGCAUUAAUUUGUAGGCCCGGUUUGAUGUUUGAGACACAAAUGCCCCUAGGAAUGAUUUUCCAAUAAAAAAAUGACCGUAAGAAGUAGCAAAAAAAAUCAGAGAAGCAAACUAGCCAAAGAUCCAAGUCCCCGCCUGCGACGAUUUUUUUGGGCUAAAUAUGCACAACCUCUUACCUCAUGUGAGGCCUCUACCACCAUCGUUUUCUACAUUUGACCCGCUCGAGUUCGUAUUUUCAAACAAAUUUGAAUUCGGUACGAAAUAUGGUAUGCCAAAUUCUAAAACAGGAUGGAAACUGUUAAGGUAUUAUCCCAACCGUUUUCUACUUUUCCACUUUUAUUCGGGAUAUCCCGUUUUUGAAAUAUGGUAUAUACCGCUUUUGGUCCACUAGGCGCAAUCUUAUAAAAAAAUGUAUCUUUUUCAUACGGAUGAAGACGAUUAUUUUUACAUGAAAAAUUGUAAUUGUGGUUCUCGACGAGAUCUACGAUUUUUUAAUUUUGAGUUUUUUCAUUUCAAGUCGUUAAGAUGCUCAAAAAAUUAAAUAAAGUUUCAGCUGUAUAUUAAUCGCGUUCCAGCACUUGUCGUCUUAGAAAAAUCAUAUCUUUCUUAUAUGGUGUGAAAUGGAGAUACUUUUUAUAUGAAAGUUGUAGCACUUGGUCCUACCGGUCGGUAUUCCGUAUUUAUUUUUCAUAUACUGACCAUGUUCGAUAUAAUUCCGCUUGAAUUAGUUCGUUUUCAAAAUUAUUGAUAUUCCAUAAGUUCGGGUUCAUUUUUGUGUCCAGCUUUACCGCUUUCGCUUUCGUUUGCGUAUUCAAAUGUAGAAGUAAAAAAUAGUUGAGGGAUUUUUCGACCGUUUCCAUCUGUUUUCAUCCCUACCUACCACCACAUCACACACUCACUUGUAUCCAAGUAUAUGAUGCUAUUCUUUUGUAUAUUAACUUCUAUAAAUCUUGUUUGAACGUCUAGGGAUCUAAAUAAGCUAAAACAAAAAAUUAUCAAAUAGAAAUUUUAGAUAUCAACCCUGCAACUUUGGUACACCGCGUAUCUCCAUCCGAGGCCGUUUGAUAAUUUCAAAGAAAAUGAAUUUCGACGACUACAUGAGGCAGUGGCCUCCUCGGUGGGGUGUAGUCUGCUUCCGUCAGGUUCCUGUCAACGCAAGGUCACCCAUGGAAGUUUCGACGACUACAUGAGGGUGUUUGUUGGUGGGUGCCGCGAAUAUUACAAAGACUCCGAUUCUGCUGCUAUGGCGAGUGGAGUUGUUACCGUGUUGACGUCCCAAUCCAACCGAGCAACCCUUUCUUUAUUUUUCUUUUCUUUUCUUUUUCCUGCCUAUAGCCUCUCAGGGUUGUAGUCUUGUACUAUAUCAAUAAAACACGCACUAUCCUGUGCAGUUCGUUCAAAAAGAGACAUAUAUAUUAUAAUGAGGGUCCAUGGUAGCUUGUUCUUAGUUAUGGAUGGAAAAUAAUUUCAUUUCCUUUAUUCUUGAUUGGUCCAAAUAGAUGAUGGAUUACAAUCCAUUGUGUAUGAAUGGUGACGAGAUUAUACAGGACAGAAUGAUCGAUAUAAGCCCUCUGGUCAAAUGAGAUGGAUGAUACAUAACCUUUACUCUUACUCCGUGAUCUAAAUUUUUCGUUACCCUGCUACAUAUGCUUUAAGAUACAUGGAAAUGAAUAAUUCAUUAGAGGCAAAAUCGAGCCCAGCUAUGGUGGCUUGUGCUGCGCACUCUGUGCUACACAUAUCUAUCUCGGCUGAAGCUCUGAGAUCGACAUCUCAUUCUCUGAAACCGAGGUUGUCGAGGACUGUUUACCGUUAAUCAGCGGCACGCCAUCAGAGAUCUCAACACUGGAUCUUGAUGGGUGAUCUGAUUCAGUGAAGCCCGAGCUGAAGACGAAGGCUGGCCUAGACGGGGCACGAUGUCUGUCAUCAGACGUGGAGGUCGGGCUGCUGAGCAUAAGCACCACCGCAGAGGCGUCUGGUCGGUCCGCUGGGUUCUCCUGGACACAUAGGAGACCGAUCUCUAUGCAGUUGAGUAGCUCGCUUUCCGGGUACCCUGACUCCGCUAGCGCUGGGUCUACCACAUCCACCAUGGAACCAGCUCUCCACUUGUCCCAUACCUGAACAGAGAUGAUCCAUCGUUGUACGUACAUUUAUGUGAAACAAAUAAUGUGACAUGGGAAUAUCAUAUCCUUACAUGGCCCAGAACAGAUAUGGAGUCUGAAUUGUCGUUGUAUGCGCUGUUGUUCUUUCGCCCGGUCACAAUUUCCAGGACUAUGACCCCGAAGCUGAAUAUGUCUGACUUGGUUGAAACAUGCCCCCAAUAGGCAUACUCUGGGGACAUGUACCCGCUGCAUGCAUCAAUGAAUUGAAAGGACUCACUAAUAAUCAAUCAAGGGUAUUGCCAGAAUUUUCAGGUUGCUAGCUAUUGGUAUACUUACAGUGUUCCAACAGGUCGUCUUGUUAUAUCUCUAGUUUGGUCUCCACCGAAAGCCCUGGCGAUGCCAAAAUCUGAAAUUUUGGGGUUCAUCUUUGCAUCAAGCAAUACAUUGCUUGGCUUUAGAUCUCUGUGAAUGACCUUCAAGCGGGACUCCUCGUGGAGGUAGAGAAGUCCUCGUGCGAUACCGCAGAUGAUGGAAAACCUCUUGCUCCAGUCGAGCUGUUGCCGUCUCACUGGAUCUGCACGCAUGGACACAACGAGGAGCAGAACAAAUAUGGGAAGAUGAAUCUGUGAGAGAUGUCUUAUUUUGAAUCUGAGCAGUAGCUUGAUGGAUACCAGAAAGGAAGGUAUCUAGGCUUCUAUUGGGCAUGUACUCGUAGAUGACCAGCUUCUCUUCUUGCAGGGACACGCCCAAGAGCCGCACUAGGUUCCUGUGCUGAAGCUUGGCAGCCAGAACAAGCUCGUUCUUAAGCUCUUGGAAUCCCUGUGAGGAGUUCUGUGAAAGCCUCUUCACAGCUAUCUCUUCCCCAUCUUGUAAUGUACCCUGCACAAAAGAAAAUACCUGUUCUUACAUUUUCGUGACACUACACUGCAAUUCACGAUAGUACUAGUUCUGUCACGAUGACUGUACCUAGCUAGUACAUUAUACUACUUCUCAUUUGUGUGUCUAUACAUAUAGGUGAAAAUGUACCUUGAACACUUCUCCAAAACCUCCCUCUCCAAGCUUGUUUUCUUCCGAGAAAUUGUCGGUUGCAUCUCUUAACACCGCUAGAUUAAGUUGCUCCGGCUCAACAUAUCCGAUGUCCUCUUCUUUGCUACUGUUGUCGUCUGUCAAAAAAAUAGUAUGCAAAAGACUGGCAUUAUUAUUAAGUAGAAUCAUGUUAGCUCCUUUUUUUUGUAAUAAGUAAAGCUCAUGGAAAAAUAAUCCUCAAUACCAAGCGCAAAUUUUGUGGGGCCAUCCGGCCAUGCCUGCAUGUACACAUAAAUGUUUUCAUGCUCUGCCGGUCAAAAUAUAGCACUGGUGCUGAUGGCCCUUAAUUUCCAACCGGUUAGGGAGAUGCUGGGUUGAGAAUGUAUUUAGCUUUGAUCGAGGGGCACAUAUUGGUGCAAUGGAACUAUGGAAGAUCAAAGAUCCCGCGGCACAUGAAUGACUUCAUGAUAACCUUAUUGAGCAUUUGUGGCAGCUCCAUGGCAGUGUGUGAUGCUCCUUUCUUCAUAUUUGUUUUGGAUUAUUUACUUGAUGCAUUUGGACCAUGCAUAUUUAUGUUUGAAUUUCUGCAUUUCAAACUUAGACGAAUCAUGUGUGAUAGAAACAUCCCGUAAUUAUUCGGACAUGAACAUAGCGUAUUUGUAACUUUUAUGUGCAAGUACAUAGCGAAAUAGUGUUAAAAAGACGAUUAUAUAUAUUGGGAACCUGCUCUAAUAAUCCUAAAAAUUAUGUCCCAGUACUAUCUGCUCGGUUGCUGUAACUGAACUCUGCUGCACCCAGUAAAAUGGACACGGCCAGAAACAAAUAUCAACUGAGGUUUUAGGCGUACGCGUACCUGGCGUUCUCUUUCGAUUGGCAUUUCUUCUGCGUAAGAAAACACCAAGGAUGACGAGUGCAAUAAGGACCGUUGCACCACCAGGGAGGGCGAUGGCGAGAGUCGAACCAAGCCCCUUUUUUCCUGCAUUUGAGUGAGGUAUUACCACUGUCGGUCAGGUCGUGCUUUCUUUUUUUACUCGUGUCACGUCUGCUUCUAGAUUGCCGUCAACUUGUCCUACACCCUCUAUACUGCCCUACAGUGAUUUCACGAUGGGACACUGCUGCAGACCGGGUUGAUGCAUUAUUGGUUAUAUUUGCCGAGAGGUGACCGAAAUUUUAAUUGCUUUCAGUCAACGAACAGAAUAAUAUAUGAUAUGUCUAUACAACAGUUGAAAGCUAGAUUACUGAUUAAUAAUCUAUCAUUUUUUUGGACCCUAGAAUUAAGAUCCAACGGCCUAUACUUUGUCCAUUCGCUACGUCACUGUUUGCGGCCGGGCACAUCAUGAUCUAAUCGGCUACCCUGAGCACCAUGGCGCCGCCUGUUGUGUUUCUCUGCCAGCGAGGGCAGACGGCAGUCAAUCUUCCGUGUCUACGGAUCUGCCUUGAAUCGCCAUCCUUAUCCGUGCAUCCUCUUUCUUGUUCAAUAAUUUUAUUUCGCGGUGCCCCCGCUCUGCCUCCAGCCACAAAUCUCCCAAUCUCUAAACCUAAAAUUGAAAACCCAAACUUCAUCAAAGAAGAUAGCGUUGCUGACUCUAAAUGUUAGGAACGAACGGCGUAUGGAAUAUGAAGUAAAGAAUCAAACCACAAAGGAGACACACGAUUUACGUGGAAAACCCCUUCAAUGUGAAGAGGAAAAACCACGGGCACCAGCCGGCAACAAUCUCACUAUAUCAAGAGUUUGGGGUUACACGCCUAUGGCGGCUUACAAGAGAAUCUGAUGAUCUCUCUCUCUCUUCUGUUGUUCUAUCGCAUGAAACCCUAGCAAGGGUGUCGGUAUAUAUAGUACCGAAACCCCAGACAGGGGGUAUUGAGCGGUACGGACUCUUGGUCCCGUGCGAGGAUGGAACUCCUCCUCGUCCGACCCUGAGUCCUUCGUCCUGGAGUCGGAUGCGCCUGGGACUCCGCCUCGCCCGACCUCAAGCCUGGGGUCGGAUGCGCCUGACCCCUUGAGGGUCGAUCUCCGACUCGCCCGACCCCAAAGUCCAGGGGUCGGGAGACGCUCCGCCUCGCUCGACCCCGAGUCCCGGGGUCGGCAGAUUCUCCGCCUCGCCCGACCCUGAGUGUUAAGGGUCGGGAAGGUCGGCCUUUAUCCUGGAGUGAAUUUGGAACAACUCCAACACUAAAUCUGUCCAUGAAUAUCUAGUAUUGUUCUAAAUCAAGGUUCUAAAUCUCCGGCAGCUGCCAACUCUAAAUCUAUCAAUGAAUAUCUAGUAUUGUUCUAAGGCUCUGUUUGGCAUGGCUCCAGCUCUGGGUGGAGCUGCUUUACUCCAAAACUUCAGGUAGAGUCAGCUCCACUCCAGAACUCCAGAAAUAAAAUGGGAUGUUUGGCUAGAUGGGUACUCUCAGCUCCAAAAAAAUCAAUUUCAGUGUUAAUUGCCAUUGGUGCCCCCAAUUCAGGCCCCACUUGUCAUCCUCUCCCCCUCCUUUCUUCCUCCUUUCUUUUUCCUCUCUUUGCCGUUGCCCACUGGUCACCCGAAGGAAGAGGAGGGGAAGGCACCAGCAGGUGGGUGGUGCUGCCGGCGGCAGGGGGUGCGGCCGGCGGCGGGGCUAGCGCGGGCGGCGGGGGGUGCGGCCGGCGGCGGGGCUCGGGCGGGAGGCGGUGGGAGCGGCCGGCGGUGCGGGCGGCUGGCGGCGGGGCUCGGGCGGGCGACGGUGCAGGCGGCUGGCGGCGGAGCUCCAAGGCCGGAGCGUGCUGGACGGAGGGGCCACGGCGGCCGGUGGCGGGAGCAACGGGCGGCGCUAGCGCGGUGGAGACCGGUGGAGAUGAGCGCGUGGAGUCUCGGAGGAAAAUAGAACAAACCGUUUUUUCUAUGUAACCAGUGGUAUUGGUGGGUAAUUAUCCACCAACUCCACGAGGAGGUUCAAAAGAGUGGUUUCUGGAGUAGCAAAAGAGGUGCUCCAAAACUCCACCUCCAUUUGCACUACAGCUCCAUGGAGUUUUGGAGUUGGGGUGUUUGGCUGAAUUUUUUGAUGGAGUUGCUAGAGUUUAGGAGUGAAGCUGUGCCAAAUAGGACUUAAAUCAAGGUUCUAAAUCUCCGGCUAUAGCUGCCACUGUAGCUAGAGAUAGCUGCUGGAGAAGGAAGCCGUUGAUUUUAGCAUUACGAGUUCGCUGCCGCUAAUAGCUGCUAUUAGCCAUAUUCCCUCAAUUAGCUGCCGCUAAAGGACUUGACGGGCCAAAUUGAAGCACAGGCUUAGCGCAAGCGAACAAACUUGGCAGGCAACGCGCUCGGCCCGCCAAGAAUUUCAGCCCAGAUUUCAUCAUUUUAGGCCAUGUAUAGGCAGGCAAAUCCUUCCCCACUCCUCUCGAGUCUGUCAACUCUGUCUCAGACUCUCCACUCCCCUGAAAGGCAGCGGUGGCGUUGACUGCGCGGCCGCCGGCGGCGGCGGCUGCGCCCGGCCCUGGAGACGAGGAAGACUAGCAGUCUAGCACCCUCUCUAUUUCCUACUUUUCUCCCCUAAGCGACGGCUGCUGCUACAACCCACCAAGGCGGCGGCGACUGCGACGGUGCCAUGGUCCACCGGCGGCUGCUUCGUUUGAGGCUGCAACGCGAGGCAAGGAAGAACCAGCACGUGCUCUGUUCCCCUUUCCUCCUCUGAUUCUGGUAUCCUGGUGACUUUUCUGAUGGGCAGAUGAUGCAUUGCCUCUAUGGUUUGCCUCUGUCCUGUUUUCAUGCUGUGAUGAACUGUGAGUGCCAAGUGUUCUGGACUGAAACACGGUCCACUGUCCUGUAUAUUGUGCUAUACUCCUGUGAGAACUGAGAAGCGAGAGCUGAUGACUUGGUGAUGAGAUGAAUUAGUGAAGUAAUGGUGUCACAUUUCUGAUUUUCUUAACCUACAUUUACAAAUCCGCUAAAUUGCUUAGCUGUAGCUAUAGCCGGCUAUAGCUGCUCUUAGGCCUAGCCGGAGAUUUUAAACACUGUUCUAAAUUAAUAUACAAAAUUUGAAGUAUAGAGAUUGUAUCUAUUUGAAAUGCAAUAUGUAAGCAUGUCUCUGUUUGCAAAUAUGUGACAUUUAGAACAUUGAUUAUAAACCGGUUAGUUUAAUUGAACUAAUUAGCUCGUGCUAAACAUCAUAUAUCUGAAAAAGAAUGAAAAUUUGUAGUGAUUGAGAAGCUCACCUGCACUUUGUCCGAUGAAGUUGGACGGAGCUGGCGCUGGAGGGGGCGGUGGAUCAAGCUUGAGAUCAUAGUAGGUGUACAUCUCCAUGCGAAGGUAGCAGUUGUAGCCGAGCACCACCCCACCCAGGUUACCAUAGCAGCAGCUAGGCAGCCGUGGCACCGAGUCCUGCAAGCACUUGUCGCACUCCGCCGCCGUCAGAUCCCUCAUGCACUGCAUCAGCCCGUACAUGGUUCCGUUGGGGACGCCGGGGUCAUACACGGCCUCCCCCGUCGCGAACAUCGGCGCCUCCGGGAAGGAGGCCGGCGCGGUGUCGCCGGAGCCGUUGACGACGCGCGCGGCGAGCCGCGUCAUGAGCGUGUAGUAUGUGUUCUCGAAGGCGCCCUUGUCACGGGCCUCCCCCGUGUUAUGCAUUUCGUGGCGGUACUUCUGCUCGUCGGGCGUGGACGUGUUGGUGUCGGCAAAGCUGACGAAGCAGAACAUCGGCGCCGGAUAUGUCACGGUGGAGCCGUCGUCGUACCAGAUGGCGGCGCGGCGGCUGUUGCUGUUGCAUCGGCUCCGGAUGCCCAUGGCGGCGCUCCGGAGGUACCUGGCGCAAUCGCCACCGGCGGAGUCGCCGCGGCAGAUGCCUCGGACGAAGGCGCGGUUGGUGCCGUUGCCGCGAGACAGGGAGGCGAAGCCCGUCGGUGCUGCUGCAGACGGUAGCGCAUCCAGUAACGCGACGACGUUGGUCCAGAACGUGCUGUUAGUGGCGGUGGAGGAGGAGGAGGAUGGCGGCGGCGGCGGCGACGGCGACGAGGGAGCAGGAGAUGGCGCCGCCGACGUUUGGCAGUGGACCAACGUGAACCGGCUGUCCAUGGACAUUACGAAGGUAGAGAGGCUCGCCACCAUGGCAAGGAGGAGCAGGCAACGGCCCUGGCGGUGGCCGGAUGGAGACGACGGCAUGGGUGGUGUUCUGAUCGAGGAAGUAGCUAGGAAGUUAACGGCAGUGGGUGAUCAUGGCAGCCUGAGUGGUCAUCACAGUUGGAUGCAUGAUUGGCGUAGACAGGCCAUUUGGCGAAGACUUGACUUGACUUCACGGUAUACUGAUAAUGGCAUGAUUUGUUCGGUGGACCUUCUCCAUCCCUGUAGAAUGCAGAGUCGUCGGGCGUCAGGUUGCAUGCAGAUGCACUUGCAGGUUGAUGUAAGUAGUGGUUCAUACAUUGAUAUGAUUGCUAUUAGAUUGAGACAGUAGUAACUAAGGGGGGUGUUUGGAUACGAGGUGUUAAACUUUAACAGUGUCACAUUGGAUGUUCGGAUGCUAAUUAGAAGAACUAAACAUGAGCUAAUUAUAAAACUAAUUGCAGAACCCUGUGCUAAUUCGCAAGACGAAUCUAUUAAGCCUAAUUAAUCCAUCAUUAGCAAUUGGUUACUGUAGCACCACAUUGUCAAAUCAUGGACUAAUUAGGCUUAAUAGAUUCGUCUCGUGAAUUACACUCCAUCUGUGCAAUUAGUUUUGUAAUUAGCCUAUGUUUAAUACUCCUAAUUAGCAUCCAAACAUCCGAUGUGACAGGUGUUAAACUUUAACACAUGGUUGCCAAACAUGCCCUAAUUUGUUCAGUUUCAUCACUUCAUGGGGAACUUUAUAUGGUGUUAGGAAUGCACUAACCAUUAUUUUACUGCACCUUUUAUCUAAUCAGUGUAAAUUUCAUUUUCUAUUCUUUUCUACUAUCUCAGGUCUAAGAAACUAGCAGGUGUACCACUUGAAACCAACUUAUGACACAUACAAAAUAACAAUCUUAACGGUGUCUCUGGGUCGGUCAAUCCAACACCAUGUUCACUAACAUGUGUUCAUGUUAUUAAUCCGAUAUCUCUAUAUCUAGGAUCCAUGAAAGGUGAUCAUCAAUUAAUAAAUGUGCUAGUCUGUGUGUCAUUAUUGUCCCACAUAAUGAUAUAGACUAGGAAUCGUUUAGAAUAACAUGAUAAUCAACAAAGAGUUCCAUGAACCAGUCACAUACUUGAUAAUCAGUGUAAAUGAUAGUUACUCAAGGAACAAAUAACACUUUAUUCAAUAGGACAUAAAUAUAGUCAUGAUACAAAUCUUGCACACACACUAGGAUCAUUGAUGCAAGUAUCUAAUACUCAUAUAUUUGUUGUGCACUCCGCCACCUCAUGCACUGCAUCAGCCCGUACAUGGUUCCGUUGGGGACGCCGGGGUCAUACACGGCCUCCCCUGUCGCGAACAUCGGCACCUCCGGGAAGGAGGCCGGCGCGGUGUCGCCGGAGCCGUUGACGACGCACGCGGCGAGCCGCGUCAUGAGCGUGUAGUAUGUGUUCUCGAAGGUGCCCUUGUCACGGGCCUCCCCCGUGUUAUGCAUUUCGUAGCGGUACUGCUCGUAGGGCGUGGACGUGUUGGUGUCGGCAAAGAUGACGAAGCAGAACAUCGGCGCUGGAUAUGUCACGGUGGAGCCAUCGUCGUACCAGAUGGCGGCGCGGCGGCUGUUGCUGUUGCACUGGCUCCGGAUGCCCAUGGCGGCGCUCCGGAAUGCGACGACGUUGGACCAGAACGUGCUGUUAGUGGCGGUGGACCAAGGUACUAAAUAGCGGCGGUAGCGGCCGCAAUAGCGGUAGCGGCCUAUUGCCGCUAUCGCUACUAGGUUAGCGGUCGGGCUGUUGCGGUUUGGAAUUUUGCGACCGCAAUUGCGCUAUAGCGGGCCACAAUAGCGGUGGUAGUAAGCUGCAAUAACGUGGAACAAAAAAACCCUCCCAACCUACCCACACAGACUCCACCAGUGCACCCCCAUCGGCCAAUCGGCCUUGCCAUCCAGAACACGCCGCCGCCACAAUAGCGGUGGUAGUAGGCUGCAAUAACGUGGAACAAAAAAACCCUCCCAACCUACCCACACAGACUCCACCAGUGCACCCCCAUCGGCCAAUCGGCCUUGCCAUCCAGAACACGCCGCCGCCACCCGUGUUGGUUGCCCGCCGCCGCCACCCUUCACCGGUGCCGCCACCCUUCGCCAGCGCCGCCGAUUCACAUACUCGAGCUCCUCCUGAUCCUCAUGGACCUCCGUCGUCUUACACUCUUAAUUUAAGCAUGUGAGACAUGUAUGCAAUUAAAUAUCUAUUUAUACUUAUUAUUCAUGAUAUAUAUAUAAUUAAAAUUAUGUGAGAUUAUUAGGUGCCGCUAUUGAAACUUAUCGUCCGCAAUAUUGCCCGCUAUCCGCAAUCCGCUACUUCAACGUCAAUCCGCUACCAACCCGCUAUUCGCUAUUUAUUACGGUGGUGGAGGAGGAGGAUGGCGGCGGCAACGACGGCGACGAGGGAGCAGGAGAUGGCGCCGCUGACGUUUGGCAGUGGACCAACGUGAACCGGCUGUCCAUGGACAUUACGAAGGUAGAGAGGCUCGCCACCAUGGCAAGGAGGAGCAGGCAACGGCCCUGGCGGUGGCCGGAUGGAGACGACAGCAUGGGUGGUGUUCUGAUUGAGGAAGUAGCUAGGAAGUCAACGGCAAUAGAGACGACGGCAUGGGUGGUGUUCUGAUCGAGGAAGUAGCUAGGAAGUCAACGGCAAUAGGAGAUCAUGGUAGUCUGAGUGGUCAUCGCAGUUUGAUGCAUAUGAUUGGCGUAGACAGGGCACUUGGCGAAGACUUGACUUGACUUACUGUAUAUUGAUAAUGACACCACUUGUUCGGUGUACCUUCUCCAUCCCUACAGCUAAUGCAGAGUCGUCGGGCGUCACGUUGCAUGCAGAUGCACUUGCAGGUUGAUGUAAGUAGUGGUACAUAUAUUGAUAUGAUUGCUAUUAGAUUGAGAUAGUAGUAACUAAUUUUUUCAGUUUCAACACUUCAUGGUGAACUUUAUAUGGUGUUAGGAAUGCACUUCAUGGUGAACUAAUGGAAGUUGGCAUCCAACAUGUCCAAGCAUUGAAGCGAUUAGUAUAAUCAGUCCAAUGGUCAAAGAAGAAAAAUUUGAUCUCUGAAGCUAGUCCAGUGCUCGAGCACAAGGAUAGACGAAGCCACGGAGGCACGCCAACCAGAAUUAGGUGCCCAGCUUCCAAGGACGAGGACUGGCGGAGCCACCUAGGCACGCCGACCUGAAGUAGGUGCCCAGCCCCCGAGCGUGGGAGCCGGAAGAGUCACGGAAACAUGUCAAGUGGCCUCUUGCUAGAGCCAAAGAGGUUGGCCGGGCGAGAGGAGGCACGCCGAGUCAUCGGCGGUGCUCAGCCCCUGAGCUUGGGAGCCGGAGGAGUCAUCGAAGUAUGCCGAGUCGCCACCUGCCUUGAGCCAAAGAGGUCGGCCAGGCAAUGGGAGGCACGUCGAGUUGUCGGCAGUGCCCAGCUCCCGAGCCUAGGAGCCGGACGAGUUGUUGAAGUACUCCGUGUUGCCGCCUGCCCUGAGCAAGAGAGGUCGGCCGGAUGACGGGAGGCACGCCGAGUCAGCGGCGACGCCCAGCCAUCGAGCCUUGGAGCUGGACGAGUCAUUGAAGUAUGCCUAGUCACCACCCGCCCCGAGCUAAAGAGGUCGGUUGGGCAACAAGAGGCACGCCGAGUCAUCGGGGACGCCUGGCCCCUAAGUCUGGGAGCCGAUGAGUCGUCAAAGUACGCCGAGUUGCCUCCCGCCCAAAGCAUGAGAGGUUGUCCGGGCGACAGGAGGCACUGUUUGUGACCGUUUACCAAUACAUUUAACUCUAUUCAUACCAAAAAUGCAGUUGAAGCUACUAAAAAGUAGCUCACAAUUUGCUGAACGGACUCUACAAUUCCAAGUACGGUAAGAAGUAUAAUAACAGUUAAAAAGACCAUACACACCCGUUGAGACCUCGGCGUCUUUCUCUCUGAUCUUCUGGAGAAUGAUAUCGCCAAGUGUGAGCUCGGCAGCUUUGUCCUUUGACAUCCCUCUCGUCCUCCUCGUUGAUCACCACCUACCAAUACCACAAAGCCAGCAAAUUCACAACUCAGACACAAGCUCAGCCACUCUGCAAUAGUUAGUUACUCAUUUUUAGUCUUGCAAGCAAGCCACGCACCUCGCCGCCGUCGUACUCGCUGAGCGCGUCAAACCCGUCGAACUCGUCGACGUCGUCGUCCUCGUCGUCAUCAGCUGCGGGGACGGGGAAAGAGGACGACGUGGACGGCCCCGGAGCCGCCUGGGCGUUGGCGUUGGCGGCGGCGGCGGCGGCUGAGGGCCCCUCGUCACUGGAGUCGGCGAGCAUCCCCUCCUGCUGCUGCUUGCGCGCCUCGCGGAGGAUCAUGGCGCUGAGGGAGGACGGGAUGGACGCCUCCUAGCUCGUCCGCCUGGUGCUGCUUGGCGGCGCCCGAGCGGCGGCGACCCCGUCGGCAUCGGCGCCCAGCCGGAGGCGGUGCUUCGGCUGCUUCUCGGAGCCGGACUUGCGCUUCUUCCCCGCCAUGGCUUCGCGGACUCGCUGGGGCGGCGGCGGCGGAGUCGGGCGCGGGCGUGUACUGUCGUGGGCUCGCUCGCUCGUGCGCACCGUGCACCGCGCCGCGCGUUUGAAUGGACAUGGGCUGGGCCUGAUAUUACCGGGCCGAGCUACUUUCAGCCCAAUACUUGCCCUCUGCUGGCUUGCGUUGCGUGGCUGUCAUCAUUUACAGGGCAGCUUUGUUUUUUCCCUCAAAGAAAAAAAAAGGGGGAAAUUUCCACGUAUCCGAUACUGAGUCAAUAUUCAUCUUGUAAAUGAUGACAACCAAUAUCAAUCCUUUAGAAAGUCAUUUGAGGAUUUACAGCAACAGCCACCAGCUGAGGAUACUUGAACCUGAAACCUGGAUCUCAUCAUCACAGAUUUAAAAUAAGGAAACAAAGAUCACUCCUGGGUUUUACCCACUAACUGUGUCUGUGCCGCGUUAAUCAUAUUACUACAAAUGGAAUUUUCACUAAUCUAAACCAAUCUCAAAUGUCUACAAUGUAUGCAGCCGUCUGCAGAUGCGAUUGCAUCUUCUUUUUCAUCUUCGAUUAGAAACGCCUUGUGGCAUGCGUACGAGACAAGGCACGGCACAUGAACCAUCGCCAUGUUGGUAAUGGUAGACUUGUGUGGGGCAUUUGCAUAGAGGAGCUUUAUGCACACGAAUUGCUUGUUCCAUCCAAGAGGAAAAACAGGGUCAUUUUUCAUCUUUGCCUGCGGAGGAACUCCCUCAUUUCAGGAUGGAACUCCCCUCGUACAAUCAGCCUCAUUCUCUUAGAGUCCUCCCACAGCAAGUAUCCAUGAUCUCUUGCGUGAUCACAGCAUUGUUCAAACCAUUCCUGCAUAAGAAGCAGAAUUAAGUAAACUGUCAGUUUACAGGAAAAAACACUCAGGAGCACAGUAAGCAAAUUAAUGUCUGACGAUUGCCCUUUGCCAAAGAUGCAGAGAAGAAAUAAUACUGCGUUUACCUUGCUAGGAAAAUCUUCAUACAAAUGUGAUGGAAUCAUCUCAACCCUGUUACGGUCAGUUUCCCACAGCCUAAUCUGCAUAGGUGAGUAUUGAAUUACUCAUCCACUAUAUUGUUUCUGCACACUAACUGAUGGCUGCCCAACAGAGAGAGAAUUAUCGCUUCUCACCUGAUCAGUGACAUUCUCCGGAACAACAGGUAUCUUGUCAACAACACGAGGGUGAGCAUUUUGCCUAAGAAAUGAAAUUAUCUGGAAAAAAAAAGACGAUAGAUCUUGAAACAAGAUGCAAGCUAGAUAUUAAAUGUAACUGCUUUACCAGACAAAGAAAUAGAAUAGAAGCUAAGCAGGAGGACAAAAUCGUAGCCAAAAUUUACAUGGUGCACAAAAAAUAACCGUAUUAAGUACAGGUGUGUUAGUAUGUGCAAACUGUUAUGGUCGGCAUCACGUACCAGAGGAGGUGGCGCCAGGGGUGAACGCUAUAGUCAGUUAGGAUGCAGCGGCAUAGUUUGGUUUGUUUCAGAUAAGAUUUGGUUUAGAUUUCAUUGUUAUCAGUUUGUUAGCUUAGUUAAGAGAAUCUAGCUGAGUUAGUUGAGUUGUAAUCCUGGCUAUUUAUAUGAAGCCGCCCAACAGAAUAAUCAAGCCAGAAUUAAUCUACUUCCUCGUCUCCCGUUCUCUGUUUCUCAUUCCUUGCUGCUCGACGCCACCGCAGCGACCUCCACGUGCUUCACGGGCAGGAAACCGGCAGCCCAGCGGCCGGCAACCUCCCACAGCUAUCCGAUCCACUCACUGCCGCAUGGCCGUGACAACUUGGUAUCAGAGCCAGGUUAACAUAAUACCCCGCUGUCACUUGUCAUUUUGGUUAACAUAUAAUCUCAAACACACAUAUGGUCAUUACAUUUUUAAUUAUAUAUGUGAAUACUCGAUUGUGUGCAGUAAAACAGAAUGGAAGUAGUAUAUUAGACAUUACCUGCUCAGCAGUUAUUCCAUUCUCAAAAGCACCAUAAAUACUUUCUUUUGUAAUAGCUCCCACGAUGAGGUUUGGAAGUUGAUACUCCACCCUGGAAAGAAAAGCAUAUAGUCAAUGAUGUUGUUUCAAAGUGAGUCCACAAACAAAUAUUGGAAUAUUAAUAGCAUACAGGAUAAUACGGCAGAACUAAUCAUGCAAUUAUAAUCAAACCUUUAGAAAAAAUUAAAAAGAAAACCCUGCAAACUGGAGUCAUUCAAAACCACUUUUCUGAUUCAAAUCCUGGAACCUGAAAUCAACUGAGUCGGAUGCAAAAGAUAAAUUCCUACUUGCCACCUACAGAGCAAGCAAUAGUGCAAGGCAGCACAGCGCUGUAUGAACUAAUAUACUACAGCCAACAGUGCAAAGCGGACAUCAAUAUUUUUCAGAUGCAGGUGAUUCAAACAGCUAGAUCUACAAGCUGCCUACAGCACAGUUCUAAAGGUCUUAGCACCUCCAAGCGAUGUCUAUAAAUGUCUUACUCUAUUAAGUUAAAUUUUUUCCCUAGAUAUAGCACUGGAUUACUCUAGAAACUUAACCUGUGCAGUCUAAUUUAUCAGGUCCACAGUACAACUAAACAAGCAGCUGCGUGGAAUUCACAACUGCAACCACUGACCAGUCUACUGGGAAUGUCAGAUCAACUGAAUUGGCAUGUACUCAAGUGGCAUCAGGUAAAGAAGCUUUAAGAAGAGUACAGAGCCCAUGCAGUUAUGACCGAUCAGUUGCUCCUUUUGCGUGCAACAUAAAUCAUAUAGCACAUUAAUAAACAAAGCAAGUGAUUCCUGAACAGGAGGCAGUGAGCUAUGAUGCCAUAGCUUUAAUGAAAAAGUGGUAGAUUGAGGAGCUAGGUUGUGUCACUCAUAGGGCACCUCAUGUACCUUGAAAAAAGGCGCAGAAUUUCACAGUGCAAUUUGGAGGUAGAGUAUGCAUACAUUCUAAAGUUUGUCUCCAAAACAACAAAGCCCUGCAACAACAUUACAAAUAUCAUCUCUUAGAUUAAAUGUAAUACAUAUCUUCAUUAUGAUCAUUGACUAGGGGACAAGUAGGUAGAAGUUACAGAUAAGUUUUGAAAAACAUAAAUAGUUGCAGUAGGGAAGGAUAUAUUAUGCAACCUCUUUGCUGGAUGAUGAAUCUGACAAGCUUGCUGAGAGAUUUGUAGCUAAUUGGGUAGGAAUGAACCAGCUAUCCUUUCGACCCUGAAAUUCAGUACUCGUCAUCAUCAUCAAGAUGAUCAGGGGAAAAACAAAAAUAAAAUUCAUACCUGCUGCAGUUUGACUAAUCCCAACUCGGCAAGAUCCCUGAUGGCAAUUCGUUCAACAUCAGUCAGAGUGUUCAAACUAUAAGCCUGAAACAUGAACAGGGCAGACAGAAAGUAUGGCCAUGAAAACCAAUGUACCAGACAGGAGACUUCGACAUAAGCAGGUAAAUUUCAUUUUAUUAGACUCAAAACUACAGUGCCUAUCUUAUUUUCAAAUAUUCUUAAGAAGGCAGAUAAGCUUGAUUGUCCUGCUAUGUUAGAUAAAGUGGAACAGUUACAACCUCUUCAAGAUGCUCUUCUCAUAUAUUUCAUUUACACUUCCUUUUCAUAUUCAUGUACUGUAUCUCCAAAAGAAAAGGUGCUCCAGCUAUAGAUUUUUUCAUGGACAUCAGGGGACAAAAAUGUUGACUACUAUCUACAUGUUUAAACAUGAUCUUCAGAAAUAAAGUUCACUUUACCGCUCCCAAUUUAUGAAAACUAAGUUCCAAGAGAAAUGAUAUCAGCUCCGUAGGGUCCACUCCACGUUCCUAUUUAAUAACAUGCAACAACAAAUUCAACAUAAAAAUUACCAAGGUGACCCAAAAUAAAUAUAAGAAUAUGCCACCAAUACCUCUGCAGAGGAAAUGUAUUCUCUCAUUAUGUACCAAAGUUGUGCAUUUGUUUCCAUAAGCUGGUAACAUAGAAAAUAAUAAGAACCAAAUGUGGAAGUAUGUCAAUUAUCGGAUUAGCUGAGAGCUGAGAACUCACAAGAAAUUGGAAGCCAUUCUCAGUCAACUUUGGAGCUUCACCAUCCCUGCCAAUAUACCAAAUCAGAUAACCAUGUCGAUGAAAUUAUUGCUUAUAUCAGUGAAGUGAAGCAAACCUAUGCAAAGCUGGACAGCAUACAGCAGUAUGAAAAUAUGAGAUUUACAUGAGUAUAUUGUCAUCAAACAUGACUUACAAAUAAUCUUAACUAUUUUCACCAAAAAAAAAAGACCAAGCUACUGAACCAAAUUGUCGGCUAGGAUCAUCGGUUAAUCAACUUCUACAUCCAGGAAACCAACAAUUGUCUGUUUACUAACAAUUUGUUGUCAGACCAUAUCAACUUCAAUUUACUAGCUCCAAUUGUCUGUUUAGUGUAUGGCUAAUUAGCUAUGUAUAAAUUUAGAGAAUGCAACUGGUUAUGUUAUCCAAUUGUACUAGAAGAAAUAAAGAGUUGCAGCAAUUUGCCAAUCACUUAUUGUUCAAAAAAACAACAUUUGACUGUACUCAUUUAUAAGAAAUUAACCCAACUAUGAAGACAAGGUAAUUAGAUGGAACCUUGAACUCAGAAGGCCGCGCUGAAAUGUCUUCAUCAUGGAGGAGCUGAAACUUGUUCCUUUUUCGACUUGAGAUGAAUUGAUCAAUUGCAACAAGAAGCACUAUUUUCCCAUAGAAAAUAUAUAUAUAAGCCUUCACUAGGGGAAAUAAACACUGGAAGCCUUCCGAGUGUUUCUAAGAAUCGGAUUCAACAAGGGAAACAAAAAGAUGAUAUAAAGGAAAGUAGAAAGUAGGCAUGUUAAACAAAUUCUGAUUUAAGGUUUGUCAUCCUAACCUCCCAUUGAUCAAGAGCAUAGGCUUCCAGGUCUGCUGAUGCUGGCAAUCUACCAGUGACACUUAACGGUAUCGGUUCCCUUGGUAAACUUCCACUGCAACAAAAGUUAAAAUAAGUAAGAACGGUAUGAUAACUAGUCAAUAUGCUCCACAAAUAGCGCUCAUGGAACAAAAGGAUUCCAGCUCGAGGUAUAUCAUGCUAGAAUUUUUUUAAAAUAAACAUGAACAGACCACUAUACAACAAUCUUCUUUUCAUAUAAACAGUGGUAGAAAUACCAUGCUAGAAUCUAUACUUGACAGAAUUAUUUAUUUAUUUUCUUGGUCACAAAAUACCAUGCGGAAAGAGCUCAAUUUUUUUCCCAUGUGGUAGCAAUAUUAUCAGGGCACAGGGUAAUUUCAUAAGGUGGAAUAAUUACUACUCUUAAAUCUUAACUUGGAGCGUAUAUAUACAUUAUGGAGAGAACAUGCAGUAAUGCUGUAUUGCUGACACCAUCAUAGCAGCUCCAAGUUUGAUAUAGGAUCACCCAUGUGAUUUCAAACAAAGAAAAGAGUAGUUGAGAAAAUCGUACCCGUCAACCAAAUACUUCUGCAUAUUACCCUGGAACUUUUGAUUCAUCUUGUAACUCACCUCCUUUCGUCUAUAUACAGAGUAAAACCAUAAAAGUUAGGAAUGGCCUAAUUUACCAUGCACCAGCAUGCAUGCUUGCAGACCUAAGCAAGUUAAUAGUAAGUUUGCAGUAUUUCCAGAGAAGUCUGCAGCAAAGAGCCGGUUAUGAUUAAUCAAAUCAUUACAAAUCCUCGUUUCUCUACCUUAAAUAAAAUAGUAUGAAUGUCUUCAGAAAUAAGCAAUCAUACCAAGCCAUCAAUGUACAUAAGAAUUCUGUAUAUAUGACGCAUUUCAUAACACGAUCUCUUUCCAUUAGAAAUAUAUAACGAUCUCUUAAGCCGGAGUAAAGAAACAUGCGAAUCUAUUAGUGUCAUUGCUCGACAUGUGUAAAUUUUUGCAUCCACAAACAUGGCAAUCUCAUGAUGAUAAUUUAACAAAUAACAACAUAGCCAUCAAGAGCUCAGGCCUCAAGGUUACCAUAAGAACAUGUAAAUACUGAUCAGACCUCCUAUCAUUACUGCUAUUUCAUAAUGAACAUGUAAAAUGUUGGCUGACUAAAUGAAGGACGUAUCAUGACUUAAUACAUUGUUACAACCACACAUGUUGCCAUACAUGCACAGCUGCACACUGAAUAUACUGUACAGAGAAUGCCACUUGGUUACCAUAGGAAGCAUGCAAAUUUGUGGCUGAAGUGCAAAUUAUUGCUUGCUUUGAACCAAACAUGCAUUAUUUAUUGUCGUGGGGCAAAAAUCUAACAACUUGCUAUCUGUUAAAAUCCAAGCUCCCAUGAAUGCAGAAAAAGGCAAUAAAUGACUCAAAACACAAGAACAAAGACAAGAUAUAUAUCAGCAUAUCACCACUUUUGAGUUUUGAGUUCCAAUAACUGGUCUAGCCCAGGUUAGUUAUGGUCUGCUCAUACGUCAAGCCAUAAAUAUCCUCUUACGGAGAUGGAUGAUCUUACCUAUCACGCACUUCGACAAAGACCCUGAGUUGGAGCAGCUUAUCAAUGGCGACCCUGUGCUUGGAAGCAUAUUCAUCGAGCACCCACUCUUCCAUAGCUGCAGCGGCCACCGGUGCCAACACGUACAGCAUCUGCAGUGCAUACUUCUUCGCUAGUGGCGGGAGUGACCUGCGAACUUUAACUGAAUCAAGAUGAGGAAAUCACUGAGAACGAAUAAUGCAUUGCAGAAAAUGUGGAUUUUGGACCUGAGUACAGCCUCACAGAUGAAGGCAGAGUCAUAGAGCAUGUCAAGCUUGGAGGCAGGCAGCGCAGCCACCAUAUCCAUGAAGUUCCGCGCCACCACCAAAACCUGCGGCAUCUUCAGUGCACCUGUGGAGAACGGAGGGGUGGGUUCUAAAUUCUUCUUUGCAACAAAAUUGGCUAGUUUGAAAUUACAAUCAUCUAAUCAAUCUCAGUUACAAUAUUAAAUCAUAGUUCCUUAACAGCUAAGAGAUACUUAUUUAUCAGAUAGCUUUCAGUUCAAAUUGUGGAGGACUGGGAUCAGUGCGCAUGCGGACUGGUGAAUCAAGCUUGAGGUCGGGUCGGGUCGGGUCUUACCGAUUGAAAAAACCGUGGGGAGGCGGCAGGACCGGAAGAGGAAGGCCGCGGGUGGACAGCGGGCGAGCUCGAGGACUGCGGGGUCGCCGACGAGUUCGGGAGCUCCCUCUCCACACCCUCGGGAGCACACAGGUGGAUGGCAGCGGGGUCCGCGGUGCUCGUCUGUGGACGGAGGCAACGGCCCGGACCUCGCGCCAGUGGACGGAGGCGGCAGACCGCAGCUCGUGGGGGAGGGGGGACGUCAGGGGCCGCAGCAAGGCCUGCGGCGGCGGGAUUGCAGUCGUGGCGUAGCCCUCGUGAAUCGAUCUGACGGCAGGUGGGCGCGCCGGCUAGGAUUUGGGCGCGGGCAAGACAGCGAGCGACGGAGAGGUGAGGCGGCGUGCGACUCGCGGCGCGCCGGCGCGGUGGACGAGCAAGACUGACGCGGCGGCACCCGACGGGGGAAUCGCUGCUGCUGCGCGCCCCUGCUUGGCAUCGGCUUGCAUAGUCGUCUGGCGGCCCAUAGGGGCAGACGGGUUGGGCCAAAAUACUUUUUGGGCCACGGCCUUAGACCCAAAUCUGCAACAUACUAGUAACAGAUCCACACAAUUUUACAUUUUAGACCUUACCUUGGAGAGCAGGGGACGCGGCGGCGCUUGACAGGGGCGGCGCAGCUUGGCAGGGGACGCGGCGGCGCUGUCAGGGGCGGCGCAGUCAGGGGUGCCGGCGGAGGUCAGGGGCGCGGCAGAUUUCAGGGGCGGUGCCGGUGAGAUCCAUCCGGUAAAAAGUGCGGCCGAGAGAGAUGCAUGGCAGGGAGAAGCUGCGGCCGGGAGAGGGGCGGCGGCGGGGGAGGUCAGGGAGCCGGCGCUGCGCCUGGCGUCGGGGGGUCGAGGGGUGAGAGGAGGGAGGGGCGUCGGGGGGUCGGGAGGUGACGAGCGGUGAGAUGAGCACGCGCCAGGAGAAGUGGUCCGUUUUGGAGGAAUGGAUGGGUUGGACCCAACCCACAUCGUCUUCCGACCAAACGCGGGAUGAGACUCCAACCCUCCAACGAAACAUGCGGUUAGUUUAGCAGCUACUGCUGGCUCAUCAAGGUUUUCAAUUAGGUGCAGAAGCUAUAUUUUCUUCUGGAUUAUAUAAUCUUUAUAUAUGAGAUACUGAGAUGCCAAAAAAAAAUGGUAUAACCGAAUGGAGAGUGCAGGCUGCUACUUGUUCACACAAGCCUCCAAAUUGUAGUCAUAUUCUUUGAGUUCCAUAAUGUUCAGUACAAUGUGUCCUGACAAUUAUAUUCGAUCCUUUUUUCCCUUAACCUUGCAUUCAGUACAUGAUCAUCAUAUUUGUGCUUAUUAUACUGGAAGGUGCGAUCACUGUGGAUGUAUGUCUGAAUAACAACUGGGAAGAGGUAAGGAGCUCCUCAGCUGUGAACUAUGAAGGAUCAUUGAGCUCCUAUAUCUGCUAUUUGACGUUUUCAAACCUUCAGGAUUUCCCCCCUGAUCCAUCAGGCAAGUUUGAUGAAUUCAAGGUAUUUGUGAGAUCAAAUUUUGAGGUAUUAUGUUCUCCAGAUCUUUCAAAGUAAUUCUCUUGUGUCAAUGUUGGCCAAUCAAUUACAAGAAGCAAUAUAAUUACUUCUAAAAAAACUGCUAUGAAAUACAUUUUUUGCCUUUGUUUCAUGGAAAAUAAAAAUAUGGAUCUGAGAGAAAAGCCCUAAGUUUUUGAAUGAAAAGCAUUAAAAAAGUGAUUAACCUGUUCCUGCCUAAGUUCUAUUAUAUGGAUUGCUUCCAUUGUUAAUAGGUCUGUCCCCCUGGUACCUCCUUAAUCAGCUAUCUUAUAGAGUGGGACUGUGGAGGUAAGAUAAACAACACAUCAGAAAUUUGAAUUGUGCAUGUCAUGCUAUCAGCUUCCAGGAAAUAUGAUUGGUGAGAGCUGUAUGUUAUUUGUGCUAUAAGGCAAGACUGGUUAUCACUUCUCAAGUCUUCAAUGCAUUGCCACCAUGGAGAAGAAGUGACUUAAGCACUGGAAAUUAUGGAAUUGGAUCUCCUCGGUCAAUGCUUGUGAAAAUAAUUUCAUGGGCCUGGAAUGGUUCACACGGAGUGAAAGUUCUAUGUCCUAAGAGCUAGCAAGUUUGCAGACAAUGAUAAUGUGGUAUUGCUUAGCUUGUCUAUCAUGAGAUAGUGGGAUCCUGGUGUGCCUAGUUUUCAGCUCCUUGUUGACUUAAAAACUGCUUGGUGUGUGUAAACAAAUACUGUCAUGGAAAUGCAAUGGGUUCAGCCCAUUAAUUGGGAUACCACUGCGAAAAUCUCAAGGAGGUUUCCAAUGUCAUCAAGUUGCAGAAUGCCAAGGAAACACUUGACAAGGUCUCGGAUGUGUCCGUGUGUGUAACCACUAUUGAGAAGGUCAAUAACCUGCUCCCGCAUAUCAGUGGUUCUUAACUGUAGAGCAUGAAGUGACUACCAAGUGUUUGAUGAGAUGUCUGGGAUGAGAUGCUUUCUAACCUGGAGAUGAGUAAAUGCUCACUGCAACAACUAGCCAUGGGUGUAGGAUACAUUGAAAAUGAGAAGAUAAUCCUGUCAGUUGAUCUAAAAGCAGAUGAGCUGCCCUCCAAGUUCUCACAUUCUAAGCACCAUGAGAAACAUUUGAAGUUUGCAUUAUGUCUUGAUGUUUAUCUGAUGUAUGCUGGCUACAAGAGGGCAUACUGUUUAUCUGACUAGUAUUAGGCAUUGGAAUCUUUGUAUUUGGAGAUAUGUUCUAAUGUGUUUGCACCUCUAGCAUUGGUGAAUUAUCAAGCUUACUUCAGUUUAUUCAGAAGUUUUCAGAAAUGUCCAGCCAUCAAAUAUUCCCAAUGAUAGCCGGAGUGGUUGCUGUCAUUAGUAAGGAGAAUCCAGAAGGAAAAGGUUUUAUUCUUCAAGUGCUAUUCCUUGCAGCUGUCCAUGACAACCCGAAUGCAAUGGCUGGAUUCAGAUAAUUUAACUGAGAGUGUGGGGUUGUUGGUGCUGUCUCUGUUGGCUGUGGAUUCGAGUAGAUGAGAUGGCUCACUCUUGUAUAAACCAAUGGGAUCCAGUUUGUGUUUUAAAGCUCAGAUCCACUGGUGAACCAACAGGGAGAGGAUAUUUUCACACAUCAGAACUGAAUGAAUUUUUGGCUUGGUUGAUCUGGAGAUGCAGUUCACACUACGAUGAUCAUUUUGCUGUCGAAGCACUAUAGCGCGGUGCAGUUUAUUUUUUGACUAAAAAUGAACUCGAAAGAGGAGCCGACAGAGCCAGCUCCACUGGCCCCGUGCUACAGUACUGCUGCUACAGUAAUAACCGGAGCCGGAGCACGCACCCUCAAGUAUAUACAGCCAGGGUUUUAGCUGCUUAACUACCAACUCAAAAUCGAAGGAUCCUCCUAUUCAUAGCUAAUGGAUCGGAUCGGAGUAACAGCGAUCGAGAUAAGAAUUGAAUUAAUUCAGUCCAAGGAUGCCUCCCCAGCAUGCUGGUAGUGGGAAACUCUCUCUUUUAUCCUUGGUAGUAGCAAGAUAUCUGGCGAUCUCAACAUCUAGUCCCUCUUUUGCUAGCUUCACCACAUUGCUCGAGUUGCAUUGCUUGCACACUGACAGAGCCUGACUAAUCAUAUCUGGAAGAGCUUCUCCCCUGUUGGACGUGAAAGCCCAUGCAUCAAGACACUGUUAGGAAUGGAAUGUUUGAAAGAAUGCCAAUUGUAUUUUUAUGGAGCACGCAGAUGGCAUAUCUAUAUGGGGAGAUCCGAGAUACUAAUCAUCAGGCUGGUAUUACAAAACAAACUAUAUAUUAAUUCAAGCAUUAUUUUAUUUGAGAUAAAAGUGACACAGUUGUGGAGCAACCGGUGAUCGGUGAUGGCCUUGACGCUAAGCUAGCGAUGCCCAGUCAUCGCCUCCAGCAGCACCUGGCCGUCGUCGUGCCCGCCCACGAACCCCAGCACGGGCUUGUGCCCCCUGAGCAGUACAACCUUUCCCUGCGGUCCGCACACAGCCACCGCCAGCACCGGCACGUCGUUAAUUAGGGUCCUCGUCAGCAAGGCCUACCACCUCUCGUCGGUGAUCACCAUGCGUCCCUGCUUGCAGAAGACGCGGAAGAUGGAGCACGCCGAAGACGAAAAGGAUGAGGUAGAGUACGAGGCGGCAUUAUAAGAGAAUCAGGCGCCAUUGGUAGAGGAAUUAAGAGGAGAGAUGGACGCGCAGGAGGCUCGGCCGCGCACCGGCACCGCGCCGGGUUGGUCGUCGCCGGCGGCCGUCAUUCCUUCCGUUUAGGAAGGAAAAAGCUAUGCGACGUCCACGAGUCAGAUCGAGCUGUGGGAGCCCAACAAAUUGUGCGCGCGUGAUGCUUAGCAUCAGCAUAUGCGGAGGCGAGGCGCGGCGGCUCACGGCGGUACGGGUCUCGGGACCGGCCCGGCCUGCAUACUCGCUCAAUGCCACGGUGGCACGGUGGUAUGCAGCGCCAAUGCAUCAACUUUUCCCUUUCUUCCCUUUGUUACAAAAAAUAAAAUAAAAAUGCAACCAAAAAACCAUGAGUUGAAGCUGAAAUUGAUAGAGUACAAACAGAUAUAAAUAUAAAUAUAAUUUGUUUUACAGUUUUCGUUGACAAGGGUGGAGUUCACGACAAUUCUAAAUCAAAUUGAAACAAAGCCUUAUAUUAAUUGGAUUGGAGAGACCUUUUCAAAAAAAAA